UCAAAAAUAUGGACACGGAGAAGUUCCUCAAGUUCUUCACGUACCUCCAUCGCCUCGGUUGCUAUCAACACAUCCUGCUCUUUGGCUGUAGCCUCGCCUUCCCCAAGUGCAUUGUUGAUGGCGAUGACAGGCAUGGCCUCCUACCCUGUAGAUCUUUCUGUGAGGCUGCAAAAGAAGGAUGUGAAUCAGUCCUGGGAAUGGUGAACUCCUCCUGGCCAGAUUCCCUCAGAUGCUCUCAGUUUAGAUACCACACUGAGAAUAACAGCGACGCCAGCAGGAUCUGCUUCUCACUGCAGCAGGAGCAUGGAAAGCAAUUUCUUCUGAAGAACUUCCAAGCCACCCAUGCAUGCUUAAAAUCCCAGCACUCAGGGGGUCAUGGAGCAGUUUAAAGCCAGCUUUAUUUACAAGAAUGUCCUGUCGCAAGAAAACCAACCCAAGCCAAACCAAACCAAGCCAAACAAACAACAACAGCAACAGAGAGAAACGUCUGGAUUGACUUUACUGGGAUUAGAAUUUCAUCUUGCUCCGAAUUGAACUUACUCUCUGAAACCAUCUCAUCUCUGACAUUGUUUUGAUCGAUGGAGCAGUGAACUUGCACACCGUGGGCCAUGAUGGUUCUGUGAGAACCACAGUCCCUGUCUGCCUUUGCUGUGUGCGUACCCAGCCAGAAAAGCCAUGGCCAAUAAAACCUCUUUCCCGUC
rnacentral:lncRNA from 1 species